rnacentral:rRNA from 1 species
ACUGCUCAGUAACACGUGGAUAACCUGCCCUAAGGAAGGGGAUAACCUCGGGAAACUGAGGAUAAUACCCUAUAGGUUACAGACGCUGGAAUGCCCUGUAACCGAAAGUUCCGGCGCCUUAGGAUGGAUCUGCGGCCGAUUAGGUUGUUGUUGGGGUAACGGCCCAACAAGCCGAUAAUCGGUACGGGUUGUGGGAGCAAGAGCCCGGAGUUGGAUUCUGAGACAUGAAUCCAGGCCCUACGGGGCGCAGCAGGCGCGAAAACUUUACAAUGCGGGAAACCGUGAUAAGGGAACCCCGAGUGCCUGUAUAUGCAGGCUGUCCAGGUGUCUAAAAAACACCUGAAGAAAGGGCCGGGCAAGACCGGUGCCAGCCGCCGCGGUAAUACCGGCGGCUCGAGUGGUGGCCACUUUUAUUGGGCUUAAAGCGUUCGUAGCUGGGUUGUUAAGUCUCUUGGGAAAUCUGACGGCUCAACCGUCAGGCGUCCAAGGGAUACUGGCAAUCUUGGAACCGGGAGAGGUGAGGGGUACUUCGGGGGUAGGAGUGAAAUCCUGUAAUCCUCGAGGGACCACCUGUGGCGAAGGCGCCUCACCAGAACGGCUUCGACAGUGAGGGACGAAAGCUGGGGGAGCAAACCGGAUUAGAUACCCGGGUAGUCCCAGCCGUAAACGAUGCGCGUUAGGUGUAUCGGUGACCACGAGUCACCGAGGUGCCGAAGGGAAACCGUGAAACGUGCCGCCUGGAAGUACGGUCGCAAGGCUGAAACUUAAAGGAAUUGGCGGGGGAGCAC